AACGAACGCUGGCGGCGCGCCUAAUACAUGCAAGUCGAGCGAGAAGGUGUAGCAAUACACUUGUAAAGCGGCGAACGGGUGAGGAAUGCAUGGGUAACCUACCCUCGAGUGGGGAAUAACUAGCCGAAAGGUUAGCUAAUACCGCAUACGUUUCCGGAACUUCGGUUUCGGAAAGAAAGCAAUACCGUGGGUAUUGCGCUCCUGGAUGGGCUCAUGUCCUAUCAGCUUGUUGGUGAGGUAACGGCUCACCAAGGCUUCGACGGGUAGCUGGUCUGAGAGGACGAUCAGCCACACUGGCACUGCGACACGGGCCAGACUCCUACGGGAGGCAGCAGUAAGGAAUAUUGCGCAAUGGACGAAAGUCUGACGCAGCGACGCCGCGUGGGGGGAUGAAGGUCUUCGGAUUGUAAACCCCUUUCGGGAGGGAAGAUGGAGUGGGGUAACCACUUGGACGGUACCUCCAGAAGCAGCCACGGCUAACUUCGUGCCAGCAGCCGCGGU
rnacentral:rRNA from 1 species